rnacentral:rRNA from 1 species
GACGAACGCUGGCGGCGUGCUUAACACAUGCAAGUCGAACGAUGAAGCCUUCGGGUGGAUUAGUGGCGAACGGGUGAGUAACACGUGGGUGAUCUGCCCUGCACUUUGGGAUAAGCCUGGGAAACUGGGUCUAAUACCGAAUAUGAUCAUGCUCUCCAUGGGGUGUGGUGGAAAGCUUUUGCGGUGUGGGAUGGGCCCGCGGCCUAUCAGCUUGUUGGUGGGGUAAUGGCCUACCAAGGCGACGACGGGUAGCCGGCCUGAGAGGGUGACCGGCCACACUGGGACUGAGAUACGGCCCAGACUCCUACGGGAGGCAGCAGUGGGGAGUAUUGCACAAUGGGCGCAAGCCUGAUGCAGCGACGCCGCGUGAGGGAUGACGGCCUUCGGGUUGUAAACCUCUUUCAGCAGGGACGAAGCGAAAGUGACGGUACCUGCAGAAGAAGGACCGGCCAACUACGUGCCAGCAGCCGCCGCAG